rnacentral:lncRNA from 1 species
UUACUAGUAAGUCGUCCAAACCGGACCGAACCUUUAAUUUUACAAUGUACUUUUAAACCUAACCAGAUUAUUUACCGGACAUAUAUAAGGUAUUUUUUUUAAUUCACUUUUUCGCGAAAUUCAGAAAACUCUAACGCCGUUUCUCUCAAAGGCGAUUUCGAAGGCGAUUUCCGUCGAUUCUCUCUAAUCCAUCGUUCUCACCGCCGGUUAUCUCUCCGCCGUUCUCACCACCGUUCUCACCACCGUUCUCACAGCCGCUUCCUCUAUUUAAGAUCUGAGAGGAAACCCUAGCGCGCAUUCUCUCAGAGGCGUCU